GAGCUUGCUCCCUGAUGUUAGCGGCGGACGGGUGAGUAACACGUGGGUAACCUGCCUGUAAGACUGGGAUAACUCCGGGAAACCGGGGCUAAUACCGGAUGGUUGUUUGAACCGCAUGGUUCAAACAUAAAAGGUGGCUUCGGCUACCACUUACAGAUGGACCCGCGGCGCAUUAGCUAGUUGGUGAGGUAACGGCUCACCAAGGCGACGAUGCGUAGCCGACCUGAGAGGGUGAUCGGCCACACUGGGACUGAGACACGGCCCAGACUCCUACGGGAGGCAGCAGUAGGGAAUCUUCCGCAAUGGACGAAAGUCUGACGGAGCAACGCCGCGUGAGUGAUGAAGGUUUUCGGAUCGUAAAGCUCUGUUG
rnacentral:rRNA from 1 species